rnacentral:tRNA from 1 species
ACUUAUAUAGUUUAUAUAAAACACUUCAUUUUCAAUGAAAAAAAAGAUAGUCUUAUAAGUU